rnacentral:rRNA from 1 species
UACGGGGGGGGGCAAGCGUUGUUCGGAAUUACUGGGCGUAAAGGGCUCGUAGGUGGCCAACUAAGUCAGACGUGAAAUCCCACGGCUCACCCGUGGAACUGCUGGGCAUACUGGGCGAUCUUGGGCCAACUAGGGGCAGCCCGGAACAAGCGGUGGAGCGGUGAAAUGCGGUAGAUAUCGCUUGGAACGCCGAAGGUGAAAACAGGCUGCUGGGGUUGUGCCGACGCUGAGACACGAAGCCAGGGGAGCAAACGGG